AUUUCCUACGGUAGGCGGCAGUGGGGAAUAUUGGCCAAUGGGGGCAAGCCUGAUCCACCCAGGCCUCAUGACUGAUGAAGGCCUUAGGGUUGUAAAGUCCUUUUGUCCGGGUCGAUAAGGCCGUCCCGGAAGAAAAAACCCCGGCAAAUUUGGUCCCAGCAGCCGCGGAAAUCCGAGGGGGGCAAGCUUUUCUCGAAUUCCCUGGGGUUAAAGGGGGGUUAGGGGGCCUUUAAAUUCGGGGGGAAAACCCCGGGCCUCACCCCGGAAAUGCCUUUCUAUACUGGUUGGCUUGAGACCGGAAAAGGACAUCGGAUUUCCGAGUGUGGAGGGGAAAUUGGUAGAUUUUCGCAAGACCCCCAGUGGCGAAGGCGCCUGUCUGGCCCGGUUCUGCCGCUGAGGCGAAAAAGCGUGGGGGGCACACGGAAUUAAUUCCCGUUGUUGUCCCCCCCGUAACGAUGAAUGCCAACGUUGGUCUCUGCCGGUCAGUGGCGCAGCUAACGCGUUAAGCAUCCGCUCCGACUACGCCCAACGU
rnacentral:rRNA from 1 species